GAAGUGAGCAUGUGCCGAAAAUGAAGUUAUGUGCAAAAAAGUUUAUGUAAGUGUGCUUGACAUUCUAAGAAAGGGAGUAUUUCCUCCUAGUUAUAUUUAGUCGCGACUAAGCUCUUGUGUUGUUUCGGCUUGUUCUCUGUUCAUUGUAGUGCGCUAGUUUAUUUUUGGCAAUGCUGAAUCAACUUGCUUGUAAUUCCACACUUAUGUUUUUUGCACACUUCGCCAUGACGCAUGAAGGGACAUCUGUGUGACAUACCAAGACAGUGUGUCCUGAGCUCUACAAGCGCACAGGAUCGCCAUCGCACACGUGCAGGUAGCCCCAUGGCGGCCCUUCAAUUUGUCGCACGCGUUCUCAACCGUGUCUAAAUUUGAGGAAAGUCGUACCUCGCCGGCCAUGUCGAUCGCAGUUCUCCUCGUAUGCAUGAUUCUGGCCAACGACUUCCUCUACUUCGUGACAUUGGCUCUGCGACGCUUUGGAUUUGAUGUUCACGGUGUGCGGCUGCAUAGCGCAGCCGCACACCUUCAAAAUUUCCUCCCCGAGUUUUUAUUAACUAGAUUAAUUGACAUCGGUAUUCAUGGUUUUUCUUGGAGAUAUACGUUA